GACGAACGCUGGCGGCGUGCCUAAUACAUGCCAGUAGAACGCUGAAGAGAGGAGCUUGCUCUUCUUGGAUGAGUUGCGAACGGGUGAGUAACGCGUAGGUAACCUGCCUUGUAGCGGGGGAUAACUAUUGGAAACGAUAGCUAAUACCGCAUAACAAUGGAUGACACAUGUCAUUUAUUUGAAAGGGGCAAUUGCUCCACUACAAGAUGGACCUGCGUUGUAUUAGCUAGUAGGUGAGGUAACGGCUCACCUAGGCGACGAUACAUAGCCGACCUGAGAGGGUGAUCGGCCACACUGGGACUGAGGAACGGCCCAGACUCCUACGGGAGGCAGCAGGAGGGAAUCUUCGGCAAUGGGGGCAACCCUGACCGAGCAACGCCGCGUGAGUGAAGAAGGGUUUCGGAUCGUAAAGCUCUGUUGUAAGUCAAGAACGAGUGUGAGAGUGGAAAGUUCACACUGUGACGGUAGCUUAUCAGAAAGGGACGGCUAACUACGUG
rnacentral:rRNA from 1 species